UUCCAGGCAACCUCUUUAUUUUCAGGUUAUAUCUGGCGGCUGAUAAAGAUUAUUUAGGCUUGAUCUGGAGGCGGCUCUUCCCAAUGUGUCAAACAAUGCAGAUCGGGGCCGUACAAAUUCGUAACACUUGAGCUCAACCGCGAGAGGAAUCUUGUGCCCAAUGUAUUAAGAGUACAAUGUCUUUGGGAAUUAUACCAGGUGUAGAGGUUCCUGGUUUAUUACACCUAUAGGCCAACAAUCGAUACCUCAACAAUUACCUGCUGUCAUCAAGAGAGAUUGAUCGCUAAGCUAGAAGAAGCAAGAAGCUAAACUUUGCCACAACAAAAAGAAUUGUUUUAACAAAUAAAUACAUAACAAGUGUUUUAUUGAAGCCUUAACCACCAGUGCCUUGUUAGCAACACAAAAAGUCAAACAAUGCAGAUCGUCGACGAACCCUGAGUGGAAUUCUGUACCCAAUGUGGCAAGGCGCCAAUUCAAUGUUGCAAUACGAAGUAGUGAACGGCUUUCAACGAAUGUACAGUACGAUAAGUGGUGCAACAAACUGCACAUGAUCCCAUUCCAAAUAAGUGGAUACAAUUCUUACUUAAGCA